CCUACGGGUGGCUGCAGUGAGGAAUAUUGGUCAAUGGGCGCGAGCCUGAACCAGCCAAGUAGCGUGAAGGAUGACUGCCCUACGGGUUGUCAACUUCUUUUAAAAAGGAAUAAGGUGAGGCCCGGUUGCCUUUUUGUAUGUACUUUAUGAAUAAGGAUCGGCUACCUCCGUUCCCGCAGCCGCGGUAAUACGGGGGAUCCGAGCGUUAUCCGGCUUUAUUGGGUUUAAAGGGAGCGUAGAUGGGUUGUUAAGUCAGUUGUGAAAGUUUGCGGCUCAACCGUAAAAUUGCAAUUGAUACUGGUAGUCUUGAGUACAGUUGAGGUAGGCGGAAUUCGUGGUGUAGCGGUGAAAUGCUUAGAUAUCACGAAGAACUCCGAUUGCGAAGGCAGCUUACUAAACUGCCACUGACAUUGAUGCUCGAAAGUGUGGGUAUCAAACAGGAUUAGAUACCCGGGUAGUC
rnacentral:rRNA from 1 species